rnacentral:rRNA from 1 species
GACGAACGCUGGCGGCGUGCUUAACACAUGCAAGUCGAACGGAAAGGCCCUGCUUUUGUGGGGUGCUCGAGUGGCGAACGGGUGAGUAACACGUGAGUAACCUGCCCUUGACUUUGGGAUAACUUCAGGAAACUGGGGCUAAUACCGGAUAGGAGCUCCUGCUGCAUGGUGGGGGUUGGAAAGUUUCGGCGGUUGGGGAUGGACUCGCGGCUUAUCAGCUGGUUGGUGGGGUAGUGGCUUACCAAGGCUUUGACGGGUAGCCGGCCUGAGAGGGUGACCGGCCACAUUGGGACUGAGAUACGGCCCAGACUCCUACGGGAGGCAGCAGUGGGGAAUAUUGCACAAUGGGCGGAAGCCUGAUGCAGCAACGCCGCGUGCGGGAUGACGGCCUUCGGGUUGUAAACCGCUUUCGCCUGUGACGAAGCGUGAGUGACGGUAAUGGGUAAAGAAGCACCGGCUAACUACGUGCCAGCAGCCGCGGUGAUACGUAGGGUGCGAGCGUUGUCCGGAUUUAUUGGGCGUAAAGGGCUCGUAGGUGGUUGAUCGCGUCGGAAGUGUAAUCUUGGGGCUUAACCCUGAGCGUGCUUUCGAUACGGGUUGACUUGAGGAAGGUAGGGGAGAAUGGAAUUCCUGGUGGAGCGGUGGAAUGCGCAGAUAUCAGGAGGAACACCAGUGGCGAAGGCGGUUCUCUGGGCCUUUCCUGACGCUGAGGAGCGAAAGCGUGGGGAGCGAACAGGCUUAGAUACCCUGGUAGUCCACGCUGUAAACGGUGGGUACUAGGUGUGGGGUCCAUUCCACGGGUUCCGUGCCGUAGCUAACGCUUUAAGUACCCCGCCUGGGGAGUACGGCCGCAAGGCUAAAACUCAAAGGAAUUGACGGGGCCCCGCACAAGCGGCGGAGCAUGCGGAUUAAUUCGAUGCAACGCGUAGAACCUUACCUGGGUUUGACAUGGAUCGGGAGUGCUCAGAGAUGGGUGUGCCUCUUUUGGGGUCGGUUCACAGGUGGUGCAUGGCUGUCGUCAGCCCGUGUCGUGAGAUGUUGGGUUAAGUCCCGCAACGAGCGCAACCCUUGUUCACUGUUGCCAGCACGUUAUGGUGGGGACUCAGUGGGGACCGCCGGGGUCAGCUCGGAGGAAGGUGGGGAUGACGUCAAGUCAUCAUGCCCCUUAUGUCCAGGGCUUCACGCAUGCUACAAUGGCUGGUACAGAGAGUGGCGAGCCUGUGAGGGUGAGCGAAUCUCGGAAAGCCGGUCUCGGUUCGGAUUGGGGUCUGCAACUCGACCUCGUGAAGUCGGAGUCGCUAGUAAUCGCAGAUCAGCAACGCUGCGGUGAAUACGUUCCCGGGGCU